UGUCGUCAGCUCGUGCUGUGAAGUGUUGGGUUAAGUCCCGCAACGAGCGCAACCCCUCGCUAUCUGUUGCCAGCAAGUAAUGUUGGGGACUCAGAUGGAACUGCCGGUGACAAACCGGAGGAAGGUGGGACGACGUCAAGUCAUCAUGGCCCUUAUGUCCUGGGCUACACACGUGCUACAAUGGCCGGUACAGAGCGCAGCGAAGCCGCGAGGCAAAGCGAAUCGCAAAAAGCCGGUCUCAGUACGGAUUGGAGUCUGAAACUCGACUCCAUGAAGUUGGAAUCGCUAGUAAUCGCGCAUCAGCAUGGCGCGGUGAAUACGUUCCCGGGCCUU
rnacentral:rRNA from 1 species